UAGGGAAUCUUCGGCAAUGGGGGCAACCCUGACCGAGCAACGCCGCGUGAGUGAAGAAGGUUUUCGGAUCGUAAAGCUCUGUUGUAAGAGAAGAACGUGUGUGAGAGUGGAAAGUUCACACAGUGACGGUAACUUACCAGGAAGGGACGGCUAACUACGUGCCAGCAGCCGCGGUAAUACGUAGGUCCCGAGCGUUGUCCGGAUUUAUUGGGCGUAAAGCGAGCGCAGGCGGUUUAAUAAGUCUGAAGUUAAAGGCAGUGGCUUAACCAUUGUUCGCUUUGGAAACUGUUAAACUUGAGUGCAGAAGGGGAGAGUGGAAUUCCAUGUGUAGCGGUGAAAUGCGUAGAUAUAUGGAGGAACACCGGUGGCGAAAGCGGCUCUCUGGUCUGUAACUGACGCUGAGGCUCGAAAGCGUGGGGAGCAAACAGG
rnacentral:rRNA from 1 species